rnacentral:rRNA from 1 species
CCUACGGGAGGCAGCAGUAGGGAAUAUUGCUCAAUGGGGGAAACCCUGAAGCAGCAACGCCGCGUGGAGGAUGAAGGUUUUCGGAUUGUAAACUCCUUUUGUUAGAGAAGAUAAUGACGGUAUCUAACGAAUAAGCACUGGCUAACUCCGUGCCAGCAGCCGCGGUAAUACGGAGGGUGCAAGCGUUACUCGGAAUCACUGGGCGUAAAGGGCGCGUAGGCGGGAUAGCAAGUCAGAUGUGAAAUCCUAUGGCUUAACCAUAGAACUGCAUUUGAAACUGUUAUUCUAGAGUAUGGGAGGGGUAGGUGGAAUUCUUGGUGUAGGGGUAAAAUCCGUAGAGAUCAAGAGGAAUACUCAUUGCGAAGGCGACCUGCUAGAACAUAACUGACGCUGAUGCGCGAAAGCGUGGGGAGCAAACAGGAUUAGAUACCCGAGUAGUC